rnacentral:rRNA from 1 species
GAGUUGAUCAUGGCUCAGGACGAACGCUGGCGGCGUGCCUAACACAUGCAAGUCGAGCGAUGAAGCUCCUUCGGGAGUGGAUUAGCGGCGGACGGGUGAGUAACACGUGGGUAACCUGCCUCAUAGAGGGGAAUAGCCUCCCGAAAGGGAGAUUAAUACCGCAUAAUGUAUGAGAAUCGCAUGAUUUUUGUACCAAAGGAGUAAUCCGCUAUGAGAUGGACCCGCGGCGCAUUAGCUAGUUGGUGAGGUAAAGGCUCACCAAGGCGACGAUGCGUAGCCGACCUGAGAGGGUGAUCGGCCACAUUGGAACUGAGACACGGUCCAGACUCCUACGGGAGGCAGCAGUGGGGAAUAUUGCGCAAUGGGGGAAACCCUGACGCAGCAACGCCGCGUGAAUGAAGAAGGCCUUAGGGUUGUAAAGUUCUGUCAUAUGGGAAGAUAAUGACGGUACCAUAUGAGGAAGCCACGGCUAACUACGUGCCAGCAGCCGCGGUAAUAC